UUCCUUCUUGUUCUCCUCACGGCAGUGGCUGUGAGCAGAGCCCAGGUGCAGCAGGAGCCGUCGGCGGAGAUCACCGAGGGCACCGAAAUCAACAUCACCUGCUCACACCCCAACAUCCAGUUCAGCGAAGUCAUCCACUGGUACCGUCAGCUCCCGGGCCGAGGACCCGCAUUCCUCGUCAGUGCCUUGAAGGGUUCCAAGGAGGUGUCGGACCCGGAGGGGAAGCUGUGGGUUUCGGCAGACCGGCGCUCCAGCGCCCUGUGUCUCGCCCGGCCCCGGCUCGGCGACGCGGCGGUGUAUUACUGCGCGUUGGUAGCACAGGGAGACGAGCCGGGGCUGCGGCCGGGCACGAACCGCUUAGGGCGGGUCGGGGGCACAGUGCCGUCCGGGCCCGCAGGGGGCGCUGCCUGCAUGGCCGCCAAACUCCAUCCUGACCAGGGUGCAUCUCCCUGAGUUCUCGACAGAAAUGAGCACUGCAGCCAUAGCAGUCAUUGACUGAGGCCCAUGUCAGUCAGACAGAGUUACUUUUGAGGUGGACAAGACGGCAUUACACACAACACAAGCUGUGUUUGACAACGGAAAGACAUUCACACAGUUCUAUUCCAUCUCCUACUCUCUUCUGCUUCCCCAGUGCAGUACAUAUGAGAGCAGAAGAGCCCUGUUCUUACGAGCCCACAGGGUUGCUUAUUCCCAUGACCUUCCACACAGUCAGAGCUUUUCCUCAGCAUUGCCAAGGCUGUGUUCUCCCUUGUGUAGGUAGCUGUAGGCAUAAACACUACAAUCAACGGCCAAUAGUUGCUUCCUCUGCCACUGCCAGGAAUAUCUUCUUCAGCUGCAAGAGACAAUGCUGAAGUGACAAGCCUCUGCAGUAUCUCAUACCCUCUCAUUCUUCUGCGAAUGGAGAAGGAUCUCCACAAACAUUCAUCCUUUACCCGCCAGGAGCAAAUCCACUCUCUCUGGGCAUCUCUGGAGGCCACACACGGUCGAAAAGAAUAUUGAAGACUUGAACUAAGAUGCAGAAAUCUUUAAUGAAUGUUUAAAUAGGAAAAUGAGAUCAUUCUGAGCAGAGGCUCUGCAGUACAGGAUUCACAUAAUCCCGUGUUUGUUUGAGUUCCUGCAAGGCACGUACCUUAUUUUCUAGCAGAGAAUGGAACGGUUCUGAGGAAACUCAUAUCUCAUAGGAUCAUAGGAAAGAAUAAAUCAGAGGAAAAGUAGAGAUAGAGAUAGCUAAGAAUGAGGAAUGGCAGCUGAGACAUGAGGCAGGUUGUCAGAAAGCCAGGAUUGCCCCUUCCUGCCAGCAUUUCGUAGAGUAGCUGAGGAUGGUCAGGUAAUCUGAAAGCAGGGGCUUGAAGAAGUCUUCUUGAUCCAGCACCACGUUCAUGUUUUCUGGAUGAAUUUCUCCCGGACCACGGCCAGCGGCUUCAGCAGGGCGGGCACCUUCUGCCACAGUAGCGGCUGCCCAAGCCGGACAAGUCAAAGCCCCCCGAGG